AAAAAGUUAGGUCGAAAAUGAAAGGGUUUUGAAAGUAGAGUUUAUAAAAAAAAAUCAAGAAAAUCGUUUAAAAGUUUAGGCAAAGCAUAGAUCUAGAACAUAUCUAAAGAGACCAGAAAGAUCUCAAAAGCUGCGGUUUCUAGAGGAACCCAAACGAUGAGAAAGGCUUGGAUUUAAGCAGGAUGGGUCGAGGCUAGUCUCUAAAUAGACAUGGCUUGCCGGAGCAGGGCUAGAGAUGGCAGUAAAGCUUGAAUCAAUAGAGGUCUCGACCCAACUCUUCAUGGUCAAGUCAUGAAACUUUAGUUACCAAACGUGAGGAGCUAUAGGAGGCUAGUGGGUGGUGAAACCACAAUGGAUUCAGGCCAAGAGGUGGCUGGAGAAGAUGAAGGAAACUCAUCAGAGAGGAGGGAAGGGGAGAGGUUCUAG
rnacentral:lncRNA from 1 species